AAUGAAAAUAAAGAGAGAAUUAUUAUAUAGUCACAUGACGCUUUAUACCUACCCAAGAUAAGAAUUUCCUAUUAAAUAAGGAAAUUAAUCUCCAACAAUCCCCUCCCGUCUUCCCCCUAAGCUACUUGCGACGAUAUCCGACGAGCCCCAGCUUUGACCAUAGAUGACUUCAAUAAUGGGGGGGCCAAUAGACUUAGUGACACCAUGUCAGCAGCUGAGCAGAAGAGUGAACAAACAGGAGUGCUAACCCCUAAACGAACUUUUUCCCGAUGAAGUGAAUAUCAACUUCAUGUGGCUUUGUUCUCUCAUGGAGAACUGAGUCCAAGAGGAUAACUGAUAGCUGACUUAUUGUCAGCCAACUAGUAAGGAUGGAGUCUGUCACUGAGAAACCCAACUCAGUUAGAAGGGACUGAAGCCAAAUAAUUUCACUUGUUCCCUAAGCCAUGGCACGAUACUCAAUUCAGCUUCUUGCAGAAGAUCGAGAGACAACUACUUGCUUCUUACUUUUCCAACGAUAUGAGAUGACUUCCAUGAAAGGUACAAACUAGAGUGGAGCGUCUAUCAGCUCUUAGACCCCCGCAUAAUCAUGCAUUUGUAAAGGCAUUAGAGACUCCGAUGGGGACUCCAGACUUAUUAAGACAAUCCACAACCGGGACAGCUAAUUUAAGAUACCAAAGAAUGUUGUACCAACAUCUAGGUGAGAGGUACGCGGCGAGUGCAUAACUGGCUCACACCUACUGACACUGCAAAUGUGAGAUCAGGUUUUGUAUUCGUCAAGUCAAUUAGGCGAGACCUACAAGUCACUUGUAGAUAGAUGGAUCUGGCAACAAUUCCCCUCUGCCUCGGCUACUAUCCCUUCAAGUUUGGUACCAUAGGCGUAUAGAUGCAGUCUACAAACCAGCAUGCCUCGUUAUCGUUAAAAGGAGAUCAAUGGAAUACUUCCGUUGGGGAGAGAGAGAUACCAUGGCGAGAUCGAGCAACCUCAAUACCAAGGAAGUAAUGAAUGAAGACCCAGAUCCUUAAUUCCCAAAAGCUUUCUUAAGCCCACAUUUCACUUGACUAAAUGCCAGAAGUAUCGUCUCCUCCCGUGAUAAUAAUGUCAUCAAACAUAAACUAAAUCAUAAUGCAAGCAAAACCUACCUGAGACUGGUCGAAGAAUAAAACAAGUAUGAUCGGAAGUUGCACUGCUUGAAAACCCUAAUUAAACUUAUACCUCACUCUUAAACGGUAGAACGCAAGCCCGAGGAGCUGCUUCAGGGCCCAUAAAUAGAUUUUUCGGAGGCGACAACAUUUCCCCAAAUACUCCCCUAAGCCGCAAAAGCUUGAGGUGGAUUCCAUAUAUAAGUCUCCGAGAGAUCACCAUUAAGGAAAGCAUUUAUUGACAUCCAAUUGGUGAGAGGCCACGAGUGAGAAGGCCUAAUCAAGGGAAUCAGAAGACGAAUGGUUAUUUAAUUUGGCAACUGGGGCAACAUAGCACCAACAUCCUUACUAAACUCUGAGAAAACCCUUAGCAACCAGACGAGCCUAUAAAUCGAUCAACUGAGCCAUCCCCGCCAAAUAAAACUUUGACAAGACUAAACAUUACUUUGACACAAACACCCAUUUUACAAUCCAACAUGCGCUCCCUUUCGUAAAGCAAUAUAAGAUUCCAAGUCCAAGUUCGUUGAAGAGCCUCAUCUCCGACUUCAUGGUAGACAACCACAAAGGUUCUGGAGAGCCUCUGGGACUGAGCGAGGAAUGGAAAUCGAUCACAACCUGACAAUAAGACCCCUUAUAGAAUCGAAAACAAAACCGUGAUAGACUAUAUUUGUGGCAUAGGAUUGAUUAGUUACUAUUGAAAAGAAAAAAACGGGAGUGGGACGACGAACACGAGUAGGAUACCGAGAUUGGGGAAUAUCAGAAAGUAAAGGAGGUAAAAUCCUGACUCUGAGGAAAGAUACUGGCAAGGGAGCCUGAGCGCGGGGACCGGGGCCUGAGAGGCGAUCGGGGGGUAGGGAGCAAUUUGGUGGAGGAGUGAUAAAAAGGAAGGCUUCAAGAUAGGAAGAGGACAAGGGAUGUAUGAGUUCAUUUCCGCAAGUAUCUCAGAACAGAACUCAGAGGAAAGAGAGAAUCCGAAAAAAAGGGAACAGUUUUCCAAAAAACGUGUGCAAGGAACACCUAUACCCCUUGGAUUCAAGGAAUACCCCAGGAAGAUACAACAACAUACGGGCCUUAUCAUCAAGUUUGGUACGAGUGGGGCUCCGAUUUUGAACAAACAUGUGCCCCCCAAAAACCACGAGGAUGAUAGGAAAUAGCCCGGUACUAGCAGGGAAGGAUAGGAGAGGAACCUUGCCCUUGUAGUACCGAUUGGGAGUCCAAUUGAUAAGAUAGGUAGCAGUGAGAAUGCACAUGUGCAAAAAUACUUAGGGACCCCCAUACCGUAAAAGACAACGAACCACUGAAUAUAUGACGCAUUUUUAUGCUCAGCUACCCCAUUCUGCUAGGUGUAUAAGGACACAUA
rnacentral:lncRNA from 1 species